rnacentral:misc_RNA from 1 species
AACUGAUACUACCUGCGGGAACCUGCGGAGGGAUCAUUACCGAGCUCGUGCCCUUCGGGGCAGAUCUCCCACCCGAUGUCAUGGACUACGAUGUUGCUUUGGCGGGCCGCCGGGCCCUGCCCGCCGCCGGCCGCGCGGCUGGCGCGUGCCCGCCAGAGGUCUCCUAGACUCUGAAUAUUAGUGUCGUCCGAGUAUCACAGAAUAGUCAAAACUUUUAGCAACGGAUCUCUAGAUCGGAAG